rnacentral:rRNA from 1 species
CCCUGCCAUUUGUACACACCGCCCGUCGCUACUACCGAUUGAAUGGCUUAGUGAGACCUCCGGAUUGGUGCUUGGUGGCCGCAAGGCUGCCGAAUGCUGAAAAGUUGUUCAAACUUGGUCAUUUAGAGGAAGUA